AGAGUUUGAUCAUGGCUCAGGACGAACGCUGGCGGCGCGCUUAACACAUGCAAGUCGAGCGAGAACCAGGGCUUCGGCCCUGGGGACAGCGGCGAACGGGUGAGUAACACGUGGGUAAUCUGCCCUUGACAUCGGGAUAGCCCGGGGAAACCCGGAUUAAUACCGAAUAGCCUCCGGAGCCUUCGGGCGCCGGAGAAAAGGUAGCUUCGGCCUCUGGUCAAGGAUGAGCCCGCGGCGGAUUAGCUUGUUGGCGGGGUAACGGCUCACCAAGGCGACGAUCCGUAGCUGGUCUGAGAGGACGAUCAGCCACACUGGGACUGAGACACGGCCCAGACUCCUACGGGAGGCAGCAGUGGGGAAUCUUGCGCUAAUGCGGGAAACCGUGACGCAGCGACGCCGCGUGGGGGAAGAAGGCCUUCGGGUUGUAAACCUCUUUCAGGAGGGACGAAGCUACUCGGGUUAAUAGCCCAGAGGGUGACGGUACCUCCAGAAGAAGCCCCGGCUAACUACGUGCCAGCAGCCGCGGUA
rnacentral:rRNA from 1 species